rnacentral:rRNA from 1 species
UGGUCAAGUUAUUAAGGGUGCAGGGCGGAUGCCUUGGCACUAGGAGCCGAUGAAGGACGUGAUAAGCUGCGAUAAGCUUCGGGGAGUUGCACGUAAACUUUGAUCCGAAGAUUUCCGAAUGAGGAAACUCACUUAGAGUAAUGUCUAAGUAUCAUUAAGUGAAUACAUAGCUUAAUGAGGGGAACUCAGGGAACUGAAACAUCUAAGUACCUGAAGGAAGAGAAAGAAAUUCGAUUCCGUAAGUAGCGGCGAGCGAACGCGGAAGAGCCCAAACCAAUAAAGUUUUCUUUAUUGGGGUUGCGGACAUAUCAUAACGAAGAGGUAUCGUAAUUGAAGAGGUUUGGAAAGACCC